GGNUCNAAGNANGCCUUUGCCCNGAANCCAUUAGCCANGGAAUAAUNAAAUUNGGNCNCGCGUUCCCAUUUUGUUGGUUUNUGAGAUCNCCCGUAAUGAUUAAUAGGGAUAGUUGGGGGCAUUUGUAUUCCGUCGUCAGAGGUGAAAUUCUUGGAUUGCCGGAAGACAAACUACUGCGAAAAGCCNUUGCCAAGGAUGUUUUCAUUGAUCAAGAACGAAGGAAGGGGGAUCGAAAACGAUUAGAUACCGUUGUAGUCUCUUCUGUAAACUAUGCCAAUUGGGGAUCGGUACAGGAUUUUUAAUGACUGUAUCGGCACCCGAAGAGAAAUCUUUAAAUGAGGUUCGGGGGGGAGUAUGGUCGCAAGGCUGAAACUUAAAGGAAUUGACGGAAGGGCACCACCAGGUGUGGAGCCUGCGGCUUAAUUUGACUCAACACGGGGAAACUCACCAGGUCCAGACACAAUAAGGAUUGACAGAUUGAUAGCUCUUUCUUGAUCUUGUGGUUGGUGGUGCAUGGCCGUUCUUAGUUGGUGGAGUGAUUUGUCUGGUUAAUUCCGAUAACGAACGAGACCUUAACCUGCUAAAUAGACCAGCCGGCUUUGGCUAGCUGCUGUCUUCUUAGAGGGACUAUCAGCGUUUAGCUGAUGGAAGUUUGAGGCAAUAACAGGUCUGUGAUGCCCUUAGAUGUUCUGGGCCGCACGCGCGCUACACUGACAGAGCCAGCGAGUCUACCACCUUUGCCGGAAGGCAUGGGUAAUCUUGUGAAACUCUGUCGUGAUGGGGAUAGAACAUUGCAAUUAUUGUUCUUCAACGAGGAAUACCUAGUAAGCGUGAUUCAUCAGAUCGCGUUGAUUACGUCCCUGCCCUUUGUACACACCGCCCGUCGCUACUACCGAUUGAAUGGCUUAGUGAGGCCUCCGGAUUGGCUAUUGGGAGCUCGCGAGAGCACCCGACUGCCGAGAAGUUGUACGAACUUGGUCAUUUAGAGGAAGUAAAAGUCGUAAUCAAGGUUUCCGUAGGUGAACCUGACGGAA
rnacentral:rRNA from 1 species